rnacentral:tRNA from 1 species
GGAGGAUUCGCCUAGUGGCCUAUGGCGCGCGCUUGGAAAGCGCGUUGGGAGCAAUCCCUCGCGGGUUCAAAUCCCGCAUCCUCCG